CCUACGGGAGGCAGCAGUAGGGAAUAUUGGACAAUGGGGGAAACCCUGAUCCAGCAAUGCCGCGUGAGUGAAGAAGGCCCUCGGGUUGUAAAACUCUUUCAUCAAUGAUGAUAAUGACAUUAGUUGAAGAAGAAGCUCCGGCUAACUUCGUGCCAGCAGCCGCGGUAAUACGAAGGGGGCUAGCGUUGUUCGGAAUCACUGGGCGUAAAGCGUAUGUAGGCGGAUCAAAAAGUUAGAUGUGAAAUCCCUGGGCUCAACCCAGGAACUGCAUUUAAAACUAGUGAUCUAGAAUUUGGUAAAGGUUAGUAGAAUUUCCAGUGUAGAGGUGAAAUUCGUAGAUAUUGGAAAGAAUACCAGAAGCGAAGGCGACUAACUAGGCCAUUUUUGACGCUGAGAUACGAAAGCGUGGGUAGCAAACAGGAUUAGAUACCCUAGUAGUC
rnacentral:rRNA from 1 species